CGAUGCGGCGUGCUACCAUGCAAGUCGAACGGAAAGGCCCUGCUUUUGUGGGGUGCUCGAGUGGCGAACGGGUGAGUAACACGUGAGUAACCUGCCCUUGACUUUGGGAUAACUUCAGGAAACUGGGGCUAAUACCGGAUAGGAGCUCCUGCUGCAUGGUGGGGGUUGGAAAGUUUCGGCGGUUGGGGAUGGACUCGCGGCUUAUCAGCUUGUUGGUGGGGUAGUGGCUUACCAAGGCUUUGACGGGUAGCCGGCCUGAGAGGGUGACCGGCCACAUUGGGACUGAGAUACGGCCCAGACUCCUACGGGAGGCAGCAGUGGGGAAUAUUGCACAAUGGGCGGAAGCCUGAUGCAGCAACGCCGCGUGCGGGAUGACGGCCUUCGGGUUGUAAACCGCUUUCGCCUGUGACGAAGCGUGAGUGACGGUAAUGGGUAAAGAAGCACCGGCUAACUACGUGCCAGCAGCCGCGGUGAUACGUAGGGUGCGAGCGUUGUCCGGAUUUAUUGGGCGUAAAGGGCUCGUAGGUGGUUGAUCGCGUCGGAAGUGUAAUCUUGGGGCUUAACCCUGAGCGUGCUUUCGAUACGGGUUGACUUGAGGAAGGUAGGGGAGAAUGGAAUUCCUGGUGGAGCGGUGGAAUGCGCAGAUAUCAGGAGGAACACCAGUGGCGAAGGCGGUUCUCUGGGCCUUUCCUGACGCUGAGGAGCGAAAGCGUGGGGAGCGAACAGGCUUAGAUACCCUGGUAGUCCACGCUGUAAACGGUGGGUACUAGGUGUGGGGUCCAUUCCACGGGUUCCGUGCCGUAGCUAACGCUUUAAGUACCCCGCCUGGGGAGUACGGCCGCAAGGCUAAAACUCAAAGGAAUUGACGGGGCCCCGCACAAGCGGCGGAGCAUGCGGAUUAAUUCGAUGCAACGCGUAGAACCUUACCUGGGUUUGACAUGGAUCGGGAGUGCUCAGAGAUGGGUGUGCCUCUUUUGGGGUCGGUUCACAGGUGGUGCAUGGCUGUCGUCAGCUCGUGUCGUGAGAUGUUGGGUUAAGUCCCGCAACGAGCGCAACCCUUGUUCACUGUUGCCAGCACGUUAUGGUGGGGACUCAGUGGAGACCGCCGGGGUCAACUCGGAGGAAGGUGGGGAUGACGUCAAGUCAUCAUGCCCCUUAUGUCCAGGGCUUCACGCAUGCUACAAUGGCUGGUACAGAGAGUGGCGAGCCUGUGAGGGUGAGCGAAUCUCGGAAAGCCGGUCUCAGUUCGGAUUGGGGUCUGCAACUCGACCUCAUGAAGUCGGAGUCGCUAGUAAUCGCAGAUCAGCAACGCUGCGGUGAAUACGUUCCCGGGGCUUGUACACACCGCCCGUCAAGUCAUGAAAGUUGGUAACACCCGAAGCCGGUGGCCUAACCGUUGUGGGGGAGCCGUCGAAGUGAUCUG
rnacentral:rRNA from 1 species